rnacentral:lncRNA from 1 species
AGAGAGAGAGAGAGAGAGAGAGAGAGAGAGAGAGAGAGAGAGACCACCUACUAUAUAUUGCAUGCACUCAACUGAUAGCUAGGAAUCACUAGCAUAUAUUCACAUGCAUGUCACACAAAUACAAAUACAUAACUUGCAUAAAACGGGACUAACUAAUAACAUUAACAGUGAUAGUUAAACAUGAAAGCUAGACAUUGACUAUGUCUAGCUAAAACACCCUAACAAAGUCAACCUACAAACAUCUAAAUAAAAGAGCAAUAAAUUGCCUAUAUACUCUUCCCCAGCUUUUGAGGGGUAUAUUUGAAACGGGUAAAUAUGAAACUCAGAAACUCUUCAGAAGUACAUAGGCAAUAUAUAUAUAUUAUACCUAGCUAUAAUAUAAGCUUAGCUCACAAGUAACACCCUAAGUUAUAUUUCAUGGUUUCUUAACACCGCUUUUUUUUGCUUCCCCAGCAGGGAUCACAGGUAAAAAUCCGAUGCCCGGGAACCGUGGAAACGGGAGGAGGCCGACCAUUCCGCCGAAGCCGAAGAAGUUCUGCGGGUGGUAGGAACUGUUGUUGUUGCUGUUGUUGGGUUUGGUUUGGGCUAGGGUUCUUGCUUCAACAAGAGGAACAACAAUGGAAGUGAGGAGGAGAGAAAGGAUUAGGCACAUCUUAGUGAACUUGUCCAUGUUUGUUGCUACAAACUUAUGGAAGGGGUGCACACUACUAUGGUUUUUUCUUUUUCUUUUUCUUUUUCUUUUUCUUUUUUGAUUGCAUGGGUGGUGAGGUUUUGGUGCAUCUACUAUGGAUAUUUAUAGUUGGAGGAAGAGGUGGCUAGCUAGUUGGUUGGUCUCUUUAAGAGAAACCAUUUAAUUAUUUCCCCUCACCACAUUGGAGGUGUAGUAAAAGCAUUUAAUAAGUGCCUAGCUUGGUAAUAGCCGGACAACUUCUCUACUUCGGAAGUAGACGUUAAGAUGUUUACGAGUUAUUAGUUUCUAAAAGCAGAACAACUUCUCUAUUUCGGAAGCAGACGUUAAGAUAUUUGCGAGUUAUUAGUUUGUAAAAACAGAAGCUCUAGUUUUAGAUGAUCAUACUUUUAGGUGCAACAAAAAGUUCUUUUUUUUUAUUUUUUGAGAGAAAGAGAGAAAGAUAGAAUACUAUUUGUUUCGUUUCUUUUUUAACAAAAUGAUCUUAACUGCAAAUAUAAAGAAGUUAGGCUUCAAAUUCGGGACCUCGGAUAUCAACC